CUUAGAUAGAAAGUAUUUAUCGGUCAUGGAUGGGAUGCGUAGGAUUAGGUAGUAGGCGGGGUAACGGCCCACUAGCCGACGAUCCUUAGGGGUUCUGAGAGGAAGGUCCCCCACACUGGUACUGAGACACGGACCAGACUCCUACGGGAGGCAGCAGUGAGGAAUAUUGGUCAAUGGGCGGAAGCCUGAACCAGCCAAGUAGCGUGAAGGAUUACCGCCCUACGGGUUUUAAACUUCUUUUAUGCGAGAGUAAUGUGCGCUACGUGUAGCGUAUUGCAAGUAUCGCAUGAAUAAGCAUCGGCUAACUCCGUG
rnacentral:rRNA from 1 species